rnacentral:rRNA from 1 species
GAUGAACGCUGACAGAAUGCUUAACACAUGCAAGUCGACUGGAAUUCACCUUCGGGUGAUAGUACGGUGGCGGACGGGUGAGUAACGCGUAAAGAACUUGCCCUCUAGACUGGGACAACUGUUGGAAACGACAGCUAAUACCGGAUAUUAUGGGAACCUCGCAUGGGGAACUCAUGAAAGCUAUAUGCGCUAGAGGAGAGCUUUGCGUGCCAUUAGCUAGUGUGGUACGCCACCAGCGACGAUGGCUAGCCGGCCUGAGAGGUGAUCGGCCACAAGGGGACUGAGACACGGCCCUUACUCCUACGGGAGGCAGCAGUGGGGAAUAUUGGACAAUGGACCAAAAGUCUGAUCCAGCAAUUCUGUGUGCACGAUGAA